rnacentral:lncRNA from 1 species
AUAGAAAAUUAUGAGUUUGAAUAUUUACUUAUUUCAAAAAACUUUUAAGUUCAGGGGUACAUGUGCAGGUUUGGUAUAUAAGUAAACUUACAAUCACAGGAGUGUGAUGACAAAUUAUUUCAUCACCAGGAUAUUAAGCCUAGUAUCCAUUAUUUAUUUUUCCUGAUCCUCUCCCUCCUCCCACCCUGAUCCUCUGAUAGGCCCUAGUGUGUGUUGUUCCCCUCUAUGUGUCCAUGUGUUCUCAUCACUCAUCUCCCACUUAUAAGUGAGAAUAUGCAGUAUUUGGUUUUCUGUUUCUGUGUUAGUUUGCUAAGGAGAAUGGCCUCCAGCUCCAUCCACGUUCCUGCAAAGGACAUGAUCUCAUCAUUUUUUAUGGCUGCAUAGUAUUCCAUGGUGUAUAUGUAGGACAUUUUCUUUAUCCAGUUUAACAUUAAUGGACAUUUAGGUUGAUUCCAUGUCUUUACUAAUGUGAGUGGUGAUGCAGUGAACAUAUGCAUGCAUGUGCCUUUAUGAUAGAACAAUUUACAUUCCGUUGAUUUGGCAUUUCUGUUUCAGGUCUUUGAGGAUUUGCCACAUUGUUUUCCACAACGGAUGAACUAAUUUAUACUCCUGCAAACAGUCAAUGAAUAAGAGUUCCUUUUACUCCACAUCCUUGCAGCAUUUGUUGUCUGUGUUCUGGAUUUUGGCCAUUCUAAUAGACAUGUAGUAGUAUCUCAUUGUUAUUUUAACUUGCUUUGCCCUGAUGACAUAUGAUAUGGAUCAUCAUUUGAUAUUCUUAUUUGCCAUCUCCUGUAUCUUCUUGAAGAGGUAUCUGUUAAUGUGUUUGGCCUAUUUCCUUUUUUUUUUUUUUUAUACUGGGUUUUAUGUUUUCUUAUUGUUGAGUUU